GGGCCAUGUGAUGAGAAUGCUUUAGUAAUAACUCACGACGGUCGUCUGAGACGCUUUUAAUGUGUCUAUAUUGAUGCAGACAUCAUUCUCUGAUGCCC
rnacentral:snoRNA from 1 species